rnacentral:rRNA from 1 species
UUUACAUGCCCAUCGUAGACCGGGGAUAGUGUUGGGAAACUGGCAGUAAUACCGGAUAACAUCUUCGGANCAAAUGGUGUGAUUCCGCUCGAGGAUUGGACCGCGUACUAUUANCUUGUUGGUGAGGUAACGGCUCACCAAGGCUGCGAUGGUUACCAGGUGUGAGAGCAUGGNCCGGCUCACUGGNACNGAGACACUGCCCAGACACCUACGGGUGGCUGCAGUCGAGAAUCUUCGGCAAUGGGCGAAAGCCUGACCGAGCGACGCCGCGUGCGGGAUGAAGGCCCUCGGGUUGUAAACCGCUGUCAGUUAGGAGGAAAUCCAUGGUGGUUAUCCAUCAUGGUUGACCGAUUUUCAGAGGAAGGACGGGCUAAGUUCGUGCCAGCAGCCGCGGUAAGACGAACCGUCCAAACGUUAUUCGGUAUCACUGGGCUUAAAGCGUGCGUAGGCGGCUUGGUAGGUGAGAUGUGAAANCCCACGGCUCAACCGUGGAAUUGCGUUUCAAACCCCCAAGCUCGAGGAAGAUAGGGGUGAUGGGAACUUAUGGUGGAGCGGUGAAAUGCGUUGAUAUCAUANGGAACACCGGUGGCNAAAGCGCAUCACUGGAUCUUUUCUGACGCUGANGCACGAAAGCUUAGGGUAGCGAACGGG